UCAGGACGAACGCUGGCGGCGUGCCUAAUACAUGCAAGUCGAGCGGAUCUUUGGGAGCUUGCUCCCAAAGAUUAGCGGCGGACGGGUGAGUAACACGUGGGCAACCUGCCUAUGAGACUGGGAUAACUCCGGGAAACCGGGGCUAAUACCGGAUAAUUCUUUUCUACACAUGUAGAAAAGCUGAAAGAUGGUUUCGGCUAUCACUCAUAGAUGGGCCCGCGGCGCAUUAGCUAGUUGGUGAGGUAACGGCUCACCAAGGCGACGAUGCGUAGCCGACCUGAGAGGGUGAUCGGCCACACUGGGACUGAGACACGGCCCAGACUCCUACGGGAGGCAGCAGUAGGGAAUCUUCCGCAAUGGACGAAAGUCUGACGGAGCAACGCCGCGUGAGUGAUGAAGGUUUUCGGAUCGUAAAACUCUGUUGUUAGGGAA
rnacentral:rRNA from 1 species